rnacentral:rRNA from 1 species
UACGGGGGGGGCAAGCGUUGUUCGGAAUUACUGGGCGUAAAGGGCUCGUAGGCGGCCAACUAAGUCAUACGUGAAAUCCCUCGGCUUAACCGGGGAACUGCGUCUGAUACUGGAUGGCUUGAGUUCGGGAGAGGGAUGCGGAAUUCCAGGUGUAGCGGUGAAAUGCGUAGAUAUCUGGAGGAACACCGGUGGCGAAGGCGGCAUCCUGGACCAACACUGACACUGAAAAGCGAAAGCCAGGGGAGCAAACGGG